rnacentral:rRNA from 1 species
GACGAACGCUGGCGGCGUGCCUAAUACAUGCAAGUAGAACGCUGAAGAGAGGAGCUUGCUCUUCUUGGAUGAGUUGCGAACGGGUGAGUAACGCGUAGGUAACCUGCCUUGUAGCGGGGGAUAACUAUUGGAAACGAUAGCUAAUGCCGCAUAACAAUGGAUGACACAUGUCAUUUAUUUGAAAGGGGCAAUUGUUCCACUACAAGAUGGACCUGCGUUGUAUUAGCCAGUAGGUGAGGUAAUGGCUCACCUAGGCGACGAUACAUAGCCGACCUGAGAGGGUGAUCGGCCACACUGGGGCUGAGACACGGCCCAGACUCCUACGGGAGGCAGCAGUAGGGAAUCUUCGGCAAUGGGGGCAACCCUGACCGAGCAACGCCGCGUGAGUGAAGAAGGUUUUCGGAUCGUAAAGCUCUGUUGUAAGUCAAGAACGGGUGUGAGAGUGGAAAGUUCACACUGUGACGGUAGCUUACCAGAAAGGGACGGCUAACUACGUG